UACAGAGGGGGCAAGCGUUGUUCGGAAUUACUGGGCGUAAAGGGCGCGUAGGCGGCCCGCUAAGUCGAACGUGAAAUCCCCGGGCUCAACCCGGGAACUGCGUCCGAUACUGGCAGGCUUGAAUCCGGGAGAGGGAUGCGGAAUUCCAGGUGUAGCGGUGAAAUGCGUAGAUAUCUGGAGGAACACCGGUGGCGAAGGCGGCAUCCUGGACCGGUAUUGACGCUGAGGCGCAAAAGCCAGGGGAGCAAACGGG
rnacentral:rRNA from 1 species